CCGGGGCUGAGUGACUGCACGUGUACGCCAAGGAGGGGACAGGCCAGUGAUAGCACGUGGGAGACCGAGGGCAGCUGGGCUGGCGUUGCCAGGCAGCUGUCCUGGGUCGCAGGCUCCCAGGAUCAGCCGGUGGAGCAGAAGGAAGCCCGUCAGAAAAGGCAAGAUGGGUCCGGCUGGUCUAGGGACCACAGCGGACUCAUUCAUUCAUUCAUUCAUUCAUCCAUCCAUCCAUUCUUCAUUUGGCUGGUCCCUGAGCUCACCCGGCGCCUCUGCCUCUGGGCGUUUGCACUGGCUGCUCCCUCUACCCCGAAUGCUGGGCCCGCUGUCCCGAGGUUUGUCCUUGUCUGAGAGGACCUCCUCGGCCCCCUCGGACAUUGCCCCUCACCCAGCACUGACCCCUCGCAGUUAAGACCACAUUUCCGUGUUUGUUCCCCAUCUCCCACUGGGUAGAGCUCCCCGGCUGAAUGGUUCCCUGCUGUCGCCAGGGCUAGCACGGAGGAAGGCCUGGGUCAGCUGUCCUCACCCCAGCCAGAAGCCCUUCCUUUCUCUGGUCCCCUGGUGGCCUGAGCUGUUGGGUUAGCAUGGUACCGCUCUCCUCCUGGAGACCCUGCACUCCCAGUGUGUGUGUGCAUGUGUGUGUCCCUCAGCACCCUCCCACGCCCAGUGUGCAGUAAGGGGGUAGAGAGGGAAGGAGAGGAGGCAGGACCAUGUGGAGCCAGAGGUGCUUUGUUCUGAGCAGGAGGUGUCGGCAGUAGGGCUGCUGACCAGCCCCGCUGGGUCUGUGGAGCCCGGGCCCUCUGCUCUCCUCUCCAGAUUGCACGCGGCCGGCCGAGCAGGUGCGGCACCAUCUGUGCCCUUGGCCUGCCUGGAAGGAGGCCGGGCUGCCUGCAGGAGGCUCGGCAGCAACUGCAUCCCUGGCACUCACUGCCCCAAGGUGGGGGGCGAAGAGCCCCUUCCAUUCCAGGGUUAAACUUAGGCACCCCAACCCGGGCUGGGGGGGUGGCCUCUGAGCCCCUCUCCUCCCGCUGCUUUUCCAUCCUUCCUCCGACUUGCUCUUGGCCACCUGCCUCCCACCCAACAACCUCCCGGAGGUGUGGGGGGGUCUCCAAGGGGGAGGGUAAGCUGGGUCUGGUCAUGGGUGAGCCCCAAGUACAGGGAGGGGAGGGGACCCCAGGCUGGUGCAGAUGCCCCUGGUGAGCAGUCCCCUCCAUGGGGCUCCCACUCUGGUCCUGGGACAGGGCAGCCCAGGAGGCAGGAGGCAGGGAUGCAGGAGCCUGGGGUCCAGUCCCAGCUCUGGGCUCUGGGCUCUGGGCAGAUCCUACUCUCAGCCAGCCUCAGUUUCCUCUUGUGUCCAGGGGAGGGAAGUUGGGUUCCAUGAGCCUGGAGGUCCUGUCUGGUACAGGUCCAGCCCAGGCCACACAGGACCGGUUGACUUUCCUUUCUAAUGAAGGACUUGGGGUACUCGACCCUUGCGCCACCCUCUCCCUUCCCCAACUCCGAAGCCUCCCUCUGAGGUUCCAGGCCAUCAGCCCUCCAUUCUCCCACCGACCCUCCCUCGGGUCCCCGUUGUGGGGAAGGCUGCAGACAGCACGGGGCUGUGUGGAGGAAAAGGGACGAGAGUGGGGCACACGAGCGGGCAGGGCGCAAGGUGCUGCAUCACCCACUCUGCCCUGCAGGGAGCCCUGCCCCCUCCUCAUCUGCGACCCUCGAUCUGCGACCUGCCAUCCAUGAGGCUGAGCCUUAGGAGGCAUUAGGGGCUCACGCGGAGCCGAGCUGGGGUCGAGAAGCCCUGGUGAAGGUCAGGGCCACUCCCAUCCCCUGCUCCCCUGGGUGACCCCUCUUAGGGGUGCCUCUUCUGUCUCGGGCACCGUGACACAGUUUGGGCAGGACUGACCCACCGCUCACCAGGGCCUGAGUCCGCCCAGCGCUGACACAGACGGGGUGCAGUGGGUACAUGCCCACUCGUCUAAGGGGGCGCAUCUGUGGACCAGCAGAAGGACAGGGGCUGGGGGUGUGCAGAACCUGGAGAGGCCCAGAGGGCAACCGGCUGGUCCCCUGGCAGUGGGGGGUGUGGUCCAGGGUGGCCAGGGACCAACCCUGGGGGCUCAUCCUCCAUGUUUAGGGGUUUCAGCUUUCUCAUGAUAAAAGGGGGGCACUGACAGGGCUCAGCAGAGGUGACACUAUUAUAACUUUAAAUAAUACUAUAAUUAUGCAGUGAAACAAGAAUGAUUAUUGUGUAUGAAAGUAUGCAGGUCUAUAUAAAAUUGCACACAAAUACACCCCCCCCACCACCAAAACCCAGGGCCAGGCAUUUAGUCCCCCCACUCCUGUGAGGUAGGGGCCUCUCUGCAUGUGCACAAGACACUGCAGCUCAGCAGGUGCUGGACAGGUGGCCAAAAAUGUCCAUGCCCCGAACCCAGAAGCUGUGAAAAUGUUACCUUCCAUGGCAGAGGGACCCUGAAGAGGGAGAUGAUCCUGGAUUGUCUGGGCAGGUCUCAUCUAUUCACAGAAGCCCUUACAAGCAGAGUGAUCAGCGAGGGGCAGAGAGAAAGCAGAGCCGCACGACUGCCCGACCAUGUUCUGAGGCCCAGGGGUCACAGGGAGGGGCCUCUGGGAGAUAGGGAUGGGCCUUGCCGACAGCCAGUGGAAAUGGAGACCUCAGUCCUACAACCAUGAGGAUCUGGAUUCUGCUGAGGGCCUGAAGGAGUCUGAAGCAGAGUCUCCCCCGAGCUCCAGGUGAGAGCUGCCCAGCCAACACUGUGCCUUCAGCCCCGGGUGACCAGGAACAGAAGCCGUGGCUGAGCCCACUCAGACGCCUGACCUGAAGAAACAGGGAGAUAAUGAACGUGUGCCGUUUCAGCCACUGAGUGUGCAGGACCUUGUUCUGGCGCGUUGAGUACUUGGCAAUACCAGCUGUGUUCACUGAGUGUCCGCUUUGCUCUGAGCACCGCGACAACCGCAUGUCCACACUCCCCAGCCUGGGGCACGCAGAUCCAUUUUGCGAGCGAGGGUCAGUUAGGGUCACAUGGCAAUGGGACAGUUGGUGUGAAUGCAGCUCUUUGGGCUGUGCCCCUGCCCACCGGGCUUCAGGCUGCUGUGUGGGCGAUGGGGGCUUGGCCUGAGGCUGCAAGCCGAGGGGAGGGGGAGAAUGCUGGGCAUUCAGGAGCUGCAGAGCAGGAAGGCGGUGACCCAGAGGCUGGCCUGGGUGAAGGACAGGUUCCCUGUGAACAUGAGGUGCCCGUGGGCAGGUGGAGGUGCCCAGUGGGCAGUUGUGUGUAACCACAGUAAACCGUGCUCCUGGAGGCCCAGGCACUUUCUCACCACACGUGGCCAGUCCCUCUGGGGCCCCAUUUUAGAGGCAAGGACCUGGAGGCUCGAGGAGGCCAAGGUCACACAGCCAAUACAGGCAGGCCUGGCCAGGAGCCCAGGCCAACCCACUGCAGGGCCCUUGCCCUUUCCAUGUUUGAGGCUGGUCUGGAGGUCGGGAGGGAGGCUGGGGGGAGACAGACACU
rnacentral:lncRNA from 1 species